rnacentral:rRNA from 1 species
CGCAGCCGCGGUAAUUCCAGCUCCAAUAGCGUAUAUUAAAGUUGUUGCAGUUAAAAAGCUCGUAGUUGAAUUUCGGGGUUAGUAGGUUGGUCAUGCCUCUGGUAUGUACUGGUCUCACUGAUUCCUCCUUCCUGAUGAGCCGUAAUGCCAUUAAUUUGGUGUUGCGGGGAAUUUGGACUGUUACUUUGAAAAAAUUAGAGUGUUUAAAGCAAGCUAACGCUUGAAUACAUUAGCAUGGAAUAAUGAAGUAGGACGUUCGAUCCUAUUUUGUUGGUUUCUAGGAUUGACGUAAUGAUUAAUAGGGAUAGUUGGGGGCAUUAGUAUUCAAUUGUCAGAGGUGAAAUUCUUGGAUUUAUUGAAGACUUAACUACUGCGAAAGCAUUUGCCAGGAUGUUUUCAUUAAUCAAGAACGAAGUUAGGGAUCGAAGACGAUCAGAUACCGUCGUAGUCUUAACCAUAAACUAUGCCGACUAGGGAUCGGAUGAUGUUAAUUUUUUAUGUACUUCUAUUCGGCGCCGUU